rnacentral:rRNA from 1 species
CGUGCCAGCAGCCGCGGUAAAACGUAGGGGACAAGCGUUAUCCGGAUUCACUGGGCGUAAAGAGCGUUGAGGCGGUUCCGUAAGUUGGGCGUGAAAGCUCCGGGCUUAACUCGGAGAUGUCGUUCAAUACUGCGGGGCUUGAGGACAGCAGAGGAAGGUGGAAUUCCCGGUGUAGUGGUGAAAUGCGUAGAUAUCGGGAGGAACACCCGUGGCGAAGGCGGCCUUCUGGGCUGUUCCUGACGCUGAAGGCGAAAGCUAGGGGAGCGAACGGGAUUAGAUACCCCGGUAGUCCUAGCUGUAAACGAUGGAUGCUGGGUGUGGGGGGUGUAAAUUCCCUCUGUGCCGAAGCAAACGCGUUAAGCAUCCCGCCUGGGGACUACGGCCGCAAGGCUAAAACUCAAACGAAUUGACGGGGGCCCGCACAAGCAGCGGAGCGUGUGGUUUAAUUCGAUGCUACACGAAGAACCUUACCUGGGUUUGACAUGCACGUGGUAGGGAACCGAAAGGGGACCGACCUUCGGGAGCGUGCACAGGUGCUGCAUGGCUGUCGUCAGCUCGUGCCGUGAGGUGUCGGGUUAAGUCCCGUAACGAGCGCAACCCUUGCCCUUAGUUACAAGUGUCUAAGGGGACUGCCCGGGACAACUGGGAGGAAGGUGGGGAUGACGUCAAGUCAGCAUGGCCUUUAUAUCCAGGGCUACACACACGCUACAAUGGCCGGUACAAUAGGUUGCGAAGUCGUGAGGCGGAGCCAAUCCUCAAAGCCGGUCUCAGUUCGAAUUGCAGUCUGCAACUCGACUGCA